UUUCUCUCUCUCUCCCCUUUGUUGUUCUUAAGGGUCUGGAAAUCUUUCUGAAAACUUCGCACUCAUUUUCCUGCAGAGCUUGAAAUCUUUCUUCUGGUGUUUUUCUUUUAUGCGUGUAUAUAUAUAUAUAUACAUAUUUUCCGGUGAUAAUUUCGUUACUUUUAAUAUAAGAUAAUUUGGUCUGUUUUUUUUCUUUUAUGGAGAAAGAAAACUGAGGUCAUGAGCACUGCGGUUCCAGAAAGAUCUGGGCAGGCGAGAGGGCAUGUAGUUUUCCGCACACCCUGAGGGUAAUUUCGUCAUUUCCAAAGCGACGUUGCCCUAAUAAUUCAUCUCCGCCGCCGUCAACUUUUCCCGUCUCCCUUAUCGCCGGAAGACUGGCAAAUAUUUCUUACGAUUUCACACAUCGGAUUCACUCAGUUUUAUUUUCUCGACAAUUCAUUGUUUUAUUUUACUAACUUGUUUUUACGGCUUUUACGUUAAUAACAAUUAAAGAGAGAAAAUGGUACUGAUCGAUA